rnacentral:tmRNA from 3 species
GCUCUGUUUUUCUCCGUCCGCGCCGCCUAUAUUGGCGGUGCCGGUUCGCCGGCUAUGGAAAUAAAUGGCCGUCGCAAUAAACCAUUCGGACCCGGGGGCGGUACCCGGCGCCUCCACCAAAACCCAUCAUGGGUGGCUUUUGGCGGGGGCGAAAUAGGAUCGACGAGGGCGUAAAGGGCGUGUUUUUUCUCGGUAUGGUUCCGCCGUUAUCGGGCUAAUGCAAUAGUUGCCAACGACAACUUUGCUCCGGUUGCUCAGGCUGCGUAACGCAGUUUGAAAGACCAUCUUAAAGUCCUAACGGGUUAAGCUCCGUUAGGCGGGGUUCGGAGGCACCUGGCAACAGAAGCCUCCACU